rnacentral:tRNA from 1 species
GGGCGGUUAGCUCAGUUGGUUAGAGCGCCUCGCUUACACCGAGGAGGUCACAAGUUCGAGCCUUGUACUGCCCA